rfam:Crassostrea gigas strain 05x7-T-G4-1.051#20 contig23102, whole genome shotgun sequence.
GCUGAUGUAGUGUAAUGGUGCACACAUUCUAUUGAGAAUGAAGUGUGGGUUCAAAUCCCAUUAUCAGAA